ensembl:lncRNA
GCCUCCUCCUGGCCCGGCAGGAGCUUCUCUGUACAUGUUCUUAUUCCAACAAGUCUGGAAUCAAUUCCAUUUUCGGCUCCACCUUUUUUUUUUUUUUUCACUCAUGCAGAGUGGAAUGCAGGAUUUUAGUUCCCUGACCAGGGAUCGAACAUGUGCCUCUCCCAGCUUUGGGAACACAGAAUCUUAACCACUGGAGGAAGUUCCCCACAUAACUUCUGAAAGUCUGCUGACAAGCCACAUUCUGGAUAAACACUUCCCUGCUCUCCAGAGCUAAGCAGGAAGUUUCUUCCUCUAAGCUCUUCCAGCUUCUGAGGGUCACUUUAUGCAAGCUGUCCUCUUUCAUGUUGAAUCAGAUCUUUCUUCUUCCAAUGCAUGGUGCAGAACUAUAGAGAACAUGGAACUGGAUUUUACAGGAGAGCAACCAUUACAGAAUCUGAGGCAUUACCUACACGGCCACCACAGAGUUUAUUACUGUAACAUCUUGAAGGAAAAAGUCAAGAACUAAAAACUGCAGGAUUCACGCUGCCCAGAGUGUGGCUUCUGACAUGGCAUCAAGGAAUGUCAAGAAGUAUUCCACAAGAAGGGACGGAGUUUGUCUUAACCACAACUGUAUCCAUCCCCAGUUCCAAAUACAAGAUUGGUGCACAGCAGAGUUGAAUAUCUACAUGUUAAUUGGAUCAAUAUCCUUAAGAACAUAAGUGUUAGCAAAAAAAAAAAAAAAAAAGUGUUUGUGGAU